GGGGUGGAGGCGCAGUUGGCUAGCGCGUAGGUCUCAUAAUCCUGAGGUCGAGAGUUCGAGCCUCUCUCACCCCA
rnacentral:tRNA from 1 species